UACGUAGGAGGCAAGCGUUGUCCGGAAUUACUGGGCGUAAAGCGCGUGUAGGUGGUGGGACAAGUCUGCUGUGAAAGCCCCCGGCUCAACUGGGGAGGGUCACUCGAUACUGAUCGACUGGAAGGCAGGAGAGGGAAGCGGAAUUCCCGGUGUAGUGGUGAAAUGCGUAGAUAUCGGGAGGAACACCAGUGGCGAAGGCGGCUUCCUGGCCUGUUCUUGACGCUGAGGCGCGAAAGCUAGGGGAGCAAACGGG
rnacentral:rRNA from 1 species